rnacentral:rRNA from 1 species
UACGUAGGGAGCAAGCGUUGUCCGGAAUCAUUGGGCGUAAAGCGCGCGUAGGUGGCCCGGUAAGUCCGCUCUGAAAGUCACAGGCUCAACCUGUGAAUGCGGGUGGAUACUGCCGGGCUAGAGUCCGGAAGAGGCGAGUGGAAUUCCUGGUGUAGCGGUGGAAUGCGCAGAUAUCAGGAGGAACACCAACGGCGAAGGCAGCUCGCUGGGACGGUACUGACGCUGAGGCGCGAAAGCGUGGGGAGCGAUCCGG